rnacentral:rRNA from 7 species
UUGACCUCGAAUCAGGUAGGAAUACCCGCUGAA